UGCAAAGACAAGCAGUGGAAACCACUUUUCAAAGAUGUGGAGACUGAUGAACUGGAGUUGCUGACAAGAAGACUGAAGGAAUGCUGUGCUGGACUGCGAAAUAUCAGAACUAGGGUGGAUGAUCAGUUCCACUGCCAAAUGGAAACAAAUAUGUUAGCAUUAGAGUUGAGGUGA
rnacentral:lncRNA from 1 species